AGUCAUGGGUUUGGUGUCUGGAUAGGAUCCUUUGUGGUUUCAGGUGACAGAGGUGACUUCAGCUCCCAAUGUGGUCAGGCUCCACUUGGUGCCAGGGACGAGGGUGGACGGCGCCUGUCUCAGAGGCUCAGACCCAGAGCUGAGACUGCCCCAACCACAGGGCUUGCAAAUAUUGGACUCCCAGGAAGCCCCAGGAGUGGGCCUCAUUGCCACAGACGAGGUGAUGGAGGGCAGUCUUCAGCUUGGGGUUCCCUGAGAGGCUCCCCCUCUGUGUGGAGACGGCUCGCUCUGAAGUUCUGCAGGGGUGGGCUGGCGGCCAAGCUCUCAGCACCUGCCGGCCGGGCUGCUGACUCAUGCUCUAAUGGGGACAUUGAUGUGUCAGGAAUUUAUGCAGCCGGGCGGCAGCCCUUUACUUUCCUAACGGUGAAGCACUUCACAGAGAAAACACAACGAGAUCAAAUCACAAUUAGAGUCAGUCCCAGCUCCUGUAGGGCAGCCGCAGCCCUGCGGGCGGGCGGGCACAGGGACUCCAGCCAGCUGGCGGGCGGAGGGUGGGAGGGUAGGGCCAGAGCUCACCUCAUAACCUGGCGUACUGAGGGGCAGAGAACAGCACGGGCAGCCUUGGGCCAAACAACCACCCCACGUUUGAUCUGACAGACAAACGUCCCUCUUGGUACAGCUUGGCCUGAGUGCCUGCGGCUGGUUUCGUGGUGUUGCUUCAGCUCGGGGUGCCCUGGAAUCAGCUGCACCUUGUCCACCUCACAGCAGCCCCCAGAUCCAGAUCCUGCAGCCAGGGACCGUGGACGGUGUGGGGUGGGGCUGAGGCUCCCUGGGCAGUCUGAGGCACUGGCCGCCUCAACCGGAUGGCUUUCCUGCUCCAGUCUCCAGACCCCUGUCUGGCCUUAGAGAAAGAACAAAGGUAAUUUGUAAAAAGAUCGAUAGAAAAUGCUGAUCAGACAGUCACAACGUGCCUUUGCCUGAGGACUUGAAUUCCUGCUUCAAGAAUCUGUGGUUUCCGCUGCUCAGUGCUGGGGACAGACGUCAGGGGACUGUGGACAUCGUCGGCCAAGUGACUAUUUCCUUAUGGCCAGCCUUUCUCCACGCUGGUUUUCCUGUUCUGUGCUCUCUCAGCCAAGCUGUGUGAGGUUUGGCUUAGGAAACUAGGCCAAAAAUGGAAUCGAAAGACAAUCUCACCAAAGAGAAAACCAGCAGGGUGGGUGACACCUUGGCUCCAAGAACCGGUGGGGAGGGCCUUUCGCUCAGAUGGAGCAUUUCCUAACCCCGGGGCAACUUUCCCGAAACACACAGACUUGCCUGACCCAAAUAGCCCCUUAUUCUUGGCUGCACUUGUGACCACAGGCAGAGCUCCUCGGAGGUGUGGACAAAGGAGGCCUCGGAGAGAACAGGGUUCGGUGGCCGGCGGGUGGAGAAGUUGGAGCUGGCUGCACCGUGGAGCCCGCACAUCAACCUUGCUGAGGACCCCAGUGUGGAAAGUCCUGGGUUCACUUCCUUCCAGAUCUGCUGAGCGCCCACUCAUGGCGGGGGAGCUGGGAUGUCCUGGAAUUCUGGAGAGGCUCCUGCUCGGAAGGAGUUCAAGGUCUUCCUGUCUGGUCUGAUAUCCCUAGAUGUUUUCCCUGGUAGGGCUGGAGAAAGCUGUCCAGGCAUGUGAACGAACAAUUUGAGGGACAAUCUGGCUUUUUUUUUUUUUUUUAAAACAGUUCUUUUCUAAACGCCUCGGAAUAAAUGAAACAAAGUCCUAUUUAUCACUAGAGACGAAGACACAUCCCUGAUUUACGUUGCCAAGCAGGGAGAAAUGCUUUGUUUCUACUCAGCGGAAGGAGACACGGGCAAGUGGGAGGAGCUGUCUCGGGAACACCAGCCUGGGUUUCCCACCCUCCCUGCUGCAGCUCUCAGCUGACCCGAGGCUGGCUCAGGAGAGGAGGAAAGCAUGCCUGAGACUGCUCUGUCUUUCUGCCCCAGCAACAGAGAGCCAAAGAAAAGACACAAGGCCCCAAAGUAUUGCCUUCUAAAUCACCUCCCUCAGCUACUCCCCCAGCGUUUCCAAAAACCCAGGUUUCCCUCAGGAGCUGCCUGGAGCUGCCUGUGCCACCCUUUCCUCCAGGCACCCAUCCUCAGAGAGGCCACGAUGAGCCCAGGGCUUCCCCCUCAGGAACCAAACCGAGCUGACUGUCUUGGUUUUCUCCUUGUUCUUCAUGAAUCCUCUGCACACUUUAACCUACCAGGCAGCAGCUAUGAAUGGAUUCCCAGAGCCAGGCUAGAGGACUCGACACCCAUUUCCCAGCUGCUUGCAGCUCUUGCAUUAGCUGGGAAGCAGCUUUACCUUAAGGGAAUGUAUCACCCUUAGAAGUUUUUGUGUUUUUAUAAAAAUAUAAAAUUUUUUCUUGCCUUGCUCUUGCUAAUUUCACAAUUGGAGCCCUAUCAGAAGGCAAGUUGUCAAAUGGCAAAUAUGAAGUCUGUGUUGUUGAAUCGUGAGUGCCGGGGGAGGAUAGAGGAGGCCGUGGUACUGGCUGGGGGUCAGAGCCCUGUGGGCCUGAGACCUCCACCUGUGGUCAGCAAGGCCCCCUUGGCUGAUGGACCUGAGAAUUUCUGUGUUACCUCUUUUUAUUUCUGUGUGCUGCACAUCACAGAAUUUUCGAAAAGUGGCAAUAGAACCCAAGGAUAAAAGCAAUUCCAGGAUCGAGCAUAUUGCUUUUGCAUGAAUGGCAUUCCAUCUAACAUGGUUCAACACUUCCUAAUUCCUUUGUGCUCCAUCUCCACCAUCUUCAGGGUUUCUUGGAAUGGUGGCCCCCUGGUGACUUCAGCUGGUGCCGUGAUUUGACCGUGUUCUCAAAGCUCCUGUGUUGGAAAUUUAAUUCCCAGUGCAACGGUGUUGGGAGGAGGGACCUUGAGUAGGUUCUGAGGCCUCUGCCCUUGGACAUGGAUUAAUGCGGUUAUCACAGGAGUGUGCUAGGUACUUUGAGAGAACCCACUGAUAAAAGGGUGGCAUGGCUCCCUCCCCUCUCCCUCUGUGGCAUGGUCCCACCCUGUGCUAGCCUGAUCAGGUUUUGGUGCAGCAAGAAGACCCUCAUCAGAUGUGACCCUCAAUCUUGGACUUCCCAGUCUUUGGAGCUGUGAGCUGUGUGAUGCCACACUGUACACCCUAGCAGUGCCUGUCCCAGGUGCCCUGUCGUGGUCCCCGGGUCCCCAGCCCCACCUGCCCCUUUUUUUCCAGCUCCAGCUUUGCUGCGUACUGGGAAUUAUGGAAAUGAUGUCAUGGAACUUUCUGGAAUUCUCCCGUGAGUUACCAGAGGCAGCCCCUGGAUCACUGUGUGCAUUGAUUGCAGUUUACUGCUCCUCCAACAGCUGCUGCCCAGGCUGCCCUCUGCCCACACUCACCCAGAGGAGGGGCCUGAGGAUUCAGGGAGGGUUUCCUCCUCCCCAGAAGCCACUGGGAAGUGAGUGAGCCUCUGUCUACACUGCAGGCAGUGGAGGGGCAGCAGGUAGCAGAUUUUUUGGGAGGGGUGAAGCUCUGUCUAUUCAGCAGUCACUGGAGGGGUGGUGGGCAGCUGGCUUGUCAGGUACAUGAGGCUCUGUCUACACAGCGGGCUUGUGGGAGUGGUGAGGCUCUGUCUACACUGCAGGCAGUGGAUGGGCAGCAGGCUUGUGGGGUGGGUGUUGUCCCACGCCCUGCCCUCACCCUCUGAGACCUUUUUCUUGCGUGAAGCAUGAAGGGCGACUUUGCAGCCAGAGCCGGGUCCCACUUCUUCGCAUGAGUGUUUUGUUUUCCCUCCGACUUGGUUUUUAAGUGAAAGGUGAGUAGAGAUGUGCAGGCAGCAGCUUCCUGAGCUCAGUCUGCAUUCCUGUUGGUCUUGGCGGGGUCAGUGGUUCUUCACCCCUCCUCUACCUGGUGUUCCCCUAGUGUGUCCACGUGGGGACUGCAGGUGACACAGUGGCCCCCUCACUCUUUCUCGAAAAUGUGUAGGGACUGUGCCAGGUGCUCUCUGCCAGGAGAGAAGUGGUCGUCGGGCAGCUCAGGAGAGACUCGCGCCACGGCAGGGCAGCCUCCUACCUAAACGCACCCAGGCAAAAUGUCCCUCUGUUUGUGUAGACAAACACUCCUACUACCUCUCAGCUGCUUAAAAAAUCCUUAGGUAAUUUUACUUCUGACUUAUAUGUAGAUACUUGGGAAAUUAAAAAAAGAUCCGAGCUUCAGAUUGGUUGGGAAUAUACAGGAGAGAGUUCAGGCAGGUGUGCUAGGGUUGUCUGUGUGAGGUAUAACCAACCCUGGCCUUGCCUGUGGGAUCCAUGGGUGGAGGCAGAUGGGGCCCCUCAGCAUCAGGAAGGGGAAUCCUGGCUGGGUUGCAGCACGGGCUCCAGCUGGCUGGGCCUGGAGUAUGCAUCGGUAGAAGGCAGAAGGAGUUGGUGGGAGCCGCAAAAUGGUAAAAAAUAAACAGGAGAAGCUGUCUCAGUGGGGAAGCAGGUCGAAGUGUGGGCCUGUGGGCUGGCACAGAAGAGAGUGCCACGGGGCGCCCACAUCCUGUGCCAGCCCAGACAGGCAGCUGAAGAGGGGUCUGCGGAGGAGAGGAGAACACGCGGACACUUCAAAGCGGCCACCCGGGCUGAAGGCUCAGGGACGGGAUGGGGAGGAGGAGGGAUGAGACUUCCGGCAGAGCCAUCCUGCUGGCCGGAGAGAGAGACGCUGGCAGAGCCAGCAGGCGCCAACCAAACUUCAGUGUUGGGUAGAUUUAGGGCCCAGCCAGUGGAGAGCAGCAGAGUCUCUGGGCACCAUUAGGGCGAGACCUGGGACCUGGAGGGGUGUAAAAACCAGAGGCAUACCCAGGGCAGAACUCGAGGGGUAAGUGGAAGCGAAAGCUUGGUUCUCUGAAUGAGAACUUCGAAAAUUCCACAUCUGGUCACAGCUGGGGCUUGAAUCUACUCAUGAGGAAGCGUCUGCUCCCCCCAGCCAGCAGCAGCCCCAUGCGAGCCGCGGGAGAGGCACGCAGAGACCCGUGCCCUGCCCUUCAUUUUACACUUAAGUCGAAACACAAUACUGACCGGAUCCCUCAGUUUUAGUCAAAGUUGGAGCAACGAUACGUUGCUGCCAGCACUAGAAAUGUAGCUCGUGUGGGCUCUUAGCUGAGUCAGAGCCCGCCCUCGGCUUAGCCCGGCACAGGAAUGGCCUUGCCAGGGGUUGCCUGUGCUGGGAUCUGCAGUGACCUUGGGUGUGGUCUCCCAGUGUGUUUUUCUCUAUUUGCAGCCAUGCGCACACUGGCUGGGAGACCACGGCGCUGACCCGAUGGCUGGGUCUUUCCUGGUGCCAGGCUACUGUGGAGAACACUUCUUGAGAGCAUCCCUGCUCCUGCUUGGCCAUCAAGACACUGCCCUUGUUGGGGCUAAGGUCUCCUUAUUUCUGUCCUGGCUGUACCUGUAGGGCCUCUGGCCUCCACCUGGUCUUGGCUGUUGCCUUGCUCACCCUCUGACGCCCACAGGUCCAUGUUGGCUAGUGGCUUCUGGAUGCUCCAAGCUUACAGAACACACAGGAAUCCUGCUUCUACAGCCAACAACCCCUCCAUGGCUCCUUCCUUGGCCUCACUGUAAAGCGAGCCAGUAGCAGAGCCAGGGAUCUGGAACAUCUGAGAAAUCUUGGGCACCAAGCAGCCCCCCGGCCUCCCCUCCUCUCCUGUUUCCUCCUCUCAUUCUGUGCUCGGCACUCGGGAGCCACGUGGCACUGUUGGCUUCUCCCUCCUGCUGUGGUCCUGCCAGGAUGCUGCUGCCUGGCCUCAUCUGUCCGGAUCGGUGCUGCCUUCUUCUCUUCCCAGGGAGAGGAACUGGAUCCGCCCAGACUGGUGCUGCUUCCUUUUCUUCCCGGGGAGAGGAACUGGAACCCCAGUUCUGAGGCCUUGCUGCCUGUCAUUCACCCUCCAGUGCGGACACCUGCCCCCAUCAUCCUGUUGGGACUUUAAAAUUCUGGAGCCAACCUUUGGACUAAGUGUGUGCAGAGUCUCCAUGCGCUUCUUGUCCCUGAUGACUGGCCCUGUCCCUGCGGGCCUGGCUGCCCUCUGGGUUGGUGUCUAGGCAGUGGGUGUCGCACUGUCCCCCAGCUGCCACAGCCCAGACUCUUCCUGACAUCGCUGCUUGGAGCAGGGGCCUGGGCGCAACCCUUCAGUCUUGGCAGAGGGGGUGACUCACUUCGUGUGUGUCAGGGAAGAGGUAAAGUGUUGAAAACUUGGUCCUUGGAGUGGGCAUGUGUUUGGGGAGCAGCAGGGCCUGCUUCAGAGUUUGUUUCCUAAAUAAAACAAUGGGUCUCCA